rnacentral:lncRNA from 7 species
AACAGUGUUGCUGGCACUGCAGCUGGAUCACUGUGGUGUCCCGUCUGCCUGUGUCCCUGGUCUUCAGGUCAGAGCUUAGGUAUCUCCUGAGUAUUUGUGGAAAGAAAGAAAGAGAGAAGGGAAAAGAGGAUCUUCUGAAAAAAAGGACUCAAGAAGGCAAAAUUCGGAGCUUCGUGUUUGGAUCCAUAUUCCAGACCAACCUCAAAAUCAGGUUUGUAAACUAAACAAAGUCAAUACUAACCUUACGGUAUUCCGCAACUCAACUCCCUUCAUUCGGAAGUGCUUCUCAUGGUCAAUCUUUACUGGAUUUAAUUGAAGCAGAAGCCUCUCAGAAUGGUUAGUAAGCUUGGCUACUUUGUACAUUUGCUAUUUUGUUUUACAUCUGAACAACAUUUGUUUACAAAACAAACAAACAAAAAAACAAAACAAAACAAAUAAAUAAAAAAACCAAAAAAACUGAAAACUUUCCAAAUAAAGUAAAUCUGUUUAUUGUAAGUAAUAUUUCAUAAAAUAAUUUCUUUUGGCAUCCUUCACACAUCAGAAUGAUAGGACUCAAUGUUCAAUUGACAUGGUUUUUGUGCAGCUGUAGAUUUACUAUGUGGCAUACUCAUCAAAUAUGAGUGAUUUCUAUCAAGUAAAUAAUAAUUAUAACAGCUUUCUAGACUAGGGUCCUGUUUUGUGUAAAAUCAUUACUUUCUCUAAACUAUUAUGUAAAAGUGACCCUUUCCAAGAAAGGAGAGCUCAAGAAGUCCCUGUAGCACUUUGGGAUGAAAUAGAUUCUGAAAACAAAAUAGGACAAAAUUGUUAUGAGAAGAGAAAGAAAGAAGCCCAUCUGUCACCAGACAGGAUUUGCUUCGCUUACAUCUGAAAGAAAACUUUGGCUUUCUGGAGGUAAGAAUUAAUCAUAUGCUACUUCUUUCCCAUUCCAUUUGAAACAGUAGAACAACCCUUUCAUUUCUGAGUGUGGCAGACCUUCAGUUAGGUAUACACUUCUUUAGCUUCUUUGAAAAAUAGCUUGUUUAACUAAGAGGUUUCUCUGGAUGUUAUUUUUCAAAAGUGACAGUAGGUUCUUAGAAGCUUUUUGCUCAGAGUUGUUUGGGACUUCUUGACGUUAAAAAAAUGAAGCUGAAAAGUAUCAGAUAGUCACUUUUUCAUCAUUCUUAGGCUGUUUGUAGUAGUGCAUAGGAGGAUAUUUAUAUGUAUACCACGUUAGACAUUUGCUGAUGCCUAAUACAGCAAAUUAUAAAGCUAGUCUAUAUCAUCUUACCUUAGCUUAUAGAUUCAGCAAAUUAGUUUCAAUGCAUGUCACGUGCACAGUGAACCUUUAAGUGAAAGUAAAUUUUAGAUUCAGAACAAAACAAAACAAAACAAAACAACCCCAAAAAAGCCCCCCAAGAAACAGGCUAGUAAUUAGAACCCAACUUUCCUUGCAUUGACAGCAGUUGAGUCAUUUAUUAAGUCAAUGUACCACAGUAACAGAGCAACAUCACACUUGAUUGAAAUCUUGGCCAAGUCUGACAGAUGUUUUCAACUCAUUGUCAAUCUCAAAUAUGUUUUAAUGAGUUUCAAGUGGCUGGAGCUACCCUCUGCAGAUGCCACUGUUACUGAGACUGUGAAAAGAAUCUUUAGGGCAAUGACAGCAUGAAAAAUUCCUUUGAGUAAAUGGUAUAUCAGAAGAAAUCCUGACUAGCAACACAAGUGCAGUUCCUGAGAAUGAUCUUUACAUUUUGAAUCUGAUGAUUCGGUGCAAAAUCAUUUGAGUUUAGGUGAAUAUCCCAAGCAAAGGUGAAAUUUUGGAUGGGAGCAUUCUUUAAGGAUUACUUGUAAUUCCUAUUUCCAAGUAACUGCUGAUUACUGCUGUUUCUGCUUAUGCUUCUAGGUCUGGCUGGGAGUCUGAAGAACAAAAGCACAUCAGAAUAAAACCCACAACAAAUAUUUAAUUAAAUAUUUUAUACUGGGAUGAGCAGAAAGAAUGGUGACUGUUAAACUGCAAAACUUCAGACUAGAUCAAGUGCAAAGAUGCUGAUUGAAGCACUGACUGAAAGCUUUGCCUGUUCUGAUGACUCUGAAUAAAAUCUCUG